AUUGAACGCUGGCGGCAGGCCUAACACAUGCAAGUCGAACGAGUGGCGGACGGGUGUAUUAUGUCUGGGAAUCUGCCUGAUGGAGGGGGAACACUACUGGAAGCGGUAGCUAAUACCGCAUACUAUCGGAUGUGCCCAUAUGGGAUUAGCUAGUCGGUGGGGUAAAGGCUCACCUAGGAGACGAUCCCUAGCUGGUCUGAGAGGAUGAACAGCCACACUGGAACUGAGACACGGUCCAGACUCCUACGGGAGGCAGCAGUGGGGAAUAGUGCACAAUGGGCGCAAGCCUGAUGCAGCCAUGCCGCGUGUAUGAAGAAGGCCUUCGGGUUGUAAAGUACUUUCAGCGGGGAGGCGUUACCCACAGAAGAAGCACCGGCUAACUCCGUGCCAGCAGCCGCGGUAAUUC
rnacentral:rRNA from 1 species